rnacentral:rRNA from 1 species
CCCUUAGAUGUUCUGGGCCGCACGCGCGCUACACUGAUGCAUUCAACGAGUUUUUCCUGGUCCGAGAGGAAUGGGUAACCUUUUGAAAGUGCAUCGUGCUAGGGAUAGACUAUUGCAAUUAUUGGUCUUCAACGAGGAAUUCCUAGUAGACGUAGUUCAUCAGACUGCAUCGAUUACGUCCCUGCCCUUUGUACACACCGCCCGUCGCUCCUACCGAUUGGGUGAGCCGAUGAAACUCUCGGAUGUAGGCUAUUCAUAGCCCGCAGAAGAGAUUUGAAUCGUAGCGCUUAGAGGAAGGAGAAGUCGUAACA